rnacentral:SRP_RNA from 1 species
UUUUCAGACUUGUGCAAUUCGCCUAAAAGGCAACGCUUCAGGGUAGGAAUACAGCAGAGCACCUUUUAGGUGGAUGUGCCGCAAGUAUCUGGAAAGAG